GGGGAUGUCAUGGUUUCGACAGGUAUUGUUCGAGCUAAUGACGCGUCAGGAAGGCAGCGACUUCCUAAAAACGCUACAGUUAAAUAUAACUGCAAACAAUCAAAACAAUAAUUUCGCUUUAGCAGCCUAAAAACCUGCAGCGAAGAUCACCCUGGUAUCGCCCAUGUACUCAGAUCGUGGUCUCAAAUUUAGUGGGAUACGUUUUAACUUUCCGUCUGUAAGUUAAGAAAGAGAUUAUCAGACUCGCGAUAGCGGAUGCCUGUUUGUCGGCUAUGCAGUAGCUAAAUCUUAAAUGGAUAAACUAUUGACGUAGACUCGUUGGUGGCGAGAUAUUUGGACAGGAGUUCGACUCUCCUCAUCUCCACUU
rfam:Globicatella sp. HMSC072A10 Globicatella_spHMPREF2811-1.0_Cont837.1, whole genome shotgun sequence.